GACGAACGCUGGCGGCGCGCCUAACACAUGCAAGUCGAACGGAGCUGAGAGAAGCUUGCUUUUCUUAGCUUAGUGGCGAACGGGUGAGUAACGCGUGAGUAACCUGCCCUGGAGUGGGGGACAACAGUUGGAAACGACUGCUAAUACCGCAUAAGCCCACGAUCCGGCAUCGGCUUGAGGGAAACGGAUUUAUUCGCUUCAGGAUGGACUCGCGUCCAAUUAGCUAGUUGGUGAGGUAACGGCCCACCAAGGCGACGAUUGGUAGCCGGACUGAGAGGUUGAACGGCCACAUUGGGACUGAGACACGGCCCAGACUCCUACGGGAGGCAGCAGUGGGGGAUAUUGCACAAUGGGGGAAACCCUGAUGCAGCGACGCCGCGUGGAGGAAGAAGGUUUUCGGAUUGUAAACUCCUGUCGUUAGGGACGAUAAUGACGGUACCUAACAAGAAAGCACCGGCUAACUACGUG
rnacentral:rRNA from 1 species